GUUCCUUGUCUAUGUUCCUUGGAACAGGACGUCAUAGAGGGUGAGAAUCCCGUGUGGCGAGGAGUGCGGUUCUUUGUAAAGUGCCUUCGAAGAGUCGAGUUGUUUGGGAAUGCAGCUCUAAGUGGGUGGUAAAUUCCAUCUAAAGCUAAAUAUUGGCGAGAGACCGAUAGCGAACAAGUACAGUGAUGGAAAGAUGAAAAGAACUUUGAAAAGAGAGUGAAAAAGUACGUGAAAUUGUUGAAAGGGAAGGGCAUUUGAUCAGACAUGGUGUUUUGUGCCCUCUGCUCCUUGUGGGUAGGGGAAUCUCGCAUUUCACUGGGCC
rnacentral:rRNA from 1 species